rnacentral:rRNA from 11 species
GAAAAACCAGAAAAGAAAUGGG